AUGCAAGUCGAACGGGGUUUGGUUGAAAGCCUAGCUUUUGACUAAACCUAGUGGCGGACGGGUGAGUAACGCGUGGGCAACCUACCCUACAGACCGGGAUACCAUCGGGAAACUGAUGUUAAUACCGAAUACACUUAGUAUAACGCAUGUUGUAUUAAGGAAAGAUUUUAUCGCUGUAGGAUGGGCCUGCGUUCCAUUAGCUAGUUGGUAGGGUAACGGCCUACCAAGGCGACGAUGCGUAGCCGACCUGAGAGGGUGAUCGGCCACACUGGGACUGAGACACGGCCCAGACUCCUACGGGAGGCAGCAGUAGGGAAUCUUCCGCAAUGGACGAAAGUCUGACGGAGCAACACCGCGUGAGCGAUGAAGGCCUUCGGGUCGUAAAGCUCUGUUGUUAGGGAAGAACAAGUGCUAUUCGAAUAGGGUGGCACCUUGACGGUACCUAACGAGAAAGCCACGGCUAACUACGUGCCAGCAGCCGCGGUAAUACGUAGGUGGCAAGCGUUGUCCGGAAUUAUUGGGCGUAAAGCGCGCGCAGGCGGUCUCUUAAGUCUGAUGUGAAAGCCCACGGCUCAACCGUGGAGGGUCAUUGGAAACUGGGAGACUUGAGUACAGAAGAGGAGAGUGGAAUUCCAUGUGUAGCGGUGAAAUGCGUAGAUAUAUGGAGGAACACCAGUGGCGAAGGCGACUCUCUGGUCUGUAACUGACGCUGAGGCGCGAAAGCGUGGGGAGCAAACAGGAUUAGAUACCCUG
rnacentral:rRNA from 1 species